UACGUAGGGUGCGAGCGUUGUCCGGAAUUACUGGGCGUAAAGCGUGCGCAGGCGGUUCGUUGUGUCUGUGGUGAAAGCCCCGGGCUUAACCUGGGAAUGGCCAUGGAAACUGGCGGGCUGGAGUAUGGCAGAGGGGGGUGGAAUUCCGCGUGUAGCAGUGAAAUGCGUAGAGAUGCGGAGGAACACCGAUGGCGAAGGCAGCCCCCUGGGCCAAUACUGACGCUCAGGCACGAAAGCGUGGGGAGCAAACAGG
rnacentral:rRNA from 1 species